rnacentral:tRNA from 1 species
CGCGGCGAUCCGGUUGGACCGGGCCCCGGCUCAUACCUGAGGGCGCUGCGGGUUCGACUCCCGCCGUCGCGUCCA